rnacentral:rRNA from 1 species
AAUGGACGCAAGUCUGAACCAGCUAUGCCGCGUGCAGGAUGAAUGCCCUAUGGGUUGUAAACUGCUUUUAUUUGGGAAGAAACCCUUGCUCGUGAGCGAGGCUGACGGUACCAAAUGAAUAAGCAUCGGCUAACUCCGUGCCAGCAGCCGCGGUAAUACGGAGGAUGCGAGCGUUAUCCGGAUUUAUUGGGUUUAAAGGGUGCGUAGGCGGAAUUGUAAGUCAGUGGUGAAAUCCUACAGCUUAACUGUAGAAUUGCCAUUGAUACUGCUUUUCUUGAGUAUAAUUGAGGUAAACGGAAUGUGUCGUGUAGCGGUGAAAUGCUUAGAUAUGACACAGAACACCAAUUGCGUAGGCAGUUUACCAAGUUAUAACUGACGCUGAGGCACGAAAGCAUGGGUAGCAAA